AGCAGUCGCCGCGGUAAUACGGAGGGGGCUAGCGUUGUUCGGAAUUACUGGGCGUAAAGCGCACGUAGGCGGCUUGGUAAGUUAGAGGUGAAAGCCCGGAGCUCAACUCCGGAAUUGCCUUUAAGACUGCCGAGCUAGUAGGUGAGAGAGGUAAGUGGAAUUCCGAGUGUAGAGGUGAAAUUCGUAGAUAUUCGGAAGAACACCAGUGGCGAAGGCGGCUUACUGGCUCAUUCUAGACGCUGAGGUGCGAAAGCGUGGGGAGCAAACAGGAUUAGAUACCCCCGUAGUCCCUGUCUCUUAUAC
rnacentral:rRNA from 1 species